rnacentral:piRNA from 1 species
UGGAACUGGAAUUUCAGAUAGCUGUGGU